GCUCGGUGGUGUAGUUGGCUAGAGCACACGAUGGCAAGUAUCCUAGCUGCGGGUUCGAAUCCCGCCACUGGUACG